CCUACGGGAGGCAGCAGUGGGGGAUAUUGCACAAUGGGGGGAACCCUGAUGCAGCGACGCCGCGUGGGUGAAGAAGCGCCUCGGCGCGUAAAGCCCUGUCAGCAGGGAAGAAAAUGACGGUACCUGAAGAAGAAGCCCCGGCUAACUCCGUGCCAGCAGCCGCGGUAAUACGUAGGGGGCAAGCGUUAUCCGGAUUGACUGGGUGUAAAGCGGGCGCAGGCGGCGGUGCAAGCCAGGAGUGAAAGCCCGGGGCCCAACCACGGGACUGCUCUUGGAACUGUGUGGCUGGAGUACAGGAGAGGCAGGCGGAAUUCCUGGUGUAGCGGUGAAAGGCGUAGAGAUCAGGAGGAACACUGGUGGCGAAGGCGGCCUGCUGGACUACAACUGACGUUGAGGCGCGAAAGCGUGGGGAGCAAACAGGAUUAGAUACCCGGGUAGUC
rnacentral:rRNA from 1 species